GGGCCCUACGGGGGGCAGCAGUGAGGAAUAUUGGUCAAUGGCCGGAAGGCUGAACCAGCCAAGCCGCGUGAAGGACGAAGGUGCCAAGCAUUGUAAACUUCUUUUGUCAAGGGACAAAAUCAGGCUCGAGAGCCUGACCGAGGGUACUUGAAGAAAAAGCAUCGGCUAACUCCGUGCCAGCAGCCGCGGUAAUACGGAGGAUGCGAGCGUUAUCCGGAUUUACUGGGUGUAAAGGGAGCGCAGACGGCAGUGCAAGUCUGGAGUGAAAGCCCGGGGCCCAACCCCGGAACUGCUC
rnacentral:rRNA from 1 species